rnacentral:rRNA from 1 species
CUGGGAAACUGGGUCUAAUACUGGAUACGACAUGUCACCGCAUGGUGGUGUGUGGAAAGGGUUUUACUGGUUUUGGAUGGGCUCACGGCCUAUCAGCUUGUUGGUGGGGUAAUGGCUCACCAAGGCGACGACGGGUAGCCGGCCUGAGAGGGUGACCGGCCACACUGGGACUGAGACACGGCCCAGACUCCUACGGGAGGCAGCAGUGGGGAAUAUUGCACAAUGGGCGGAAGCCUGAUGCAGCGACGCCGCGUGAGGGAUGACGGCCUUCGGGUUGUAAACCUCUUUCAGCACGGAAGAAGCGAAAGUGACGGUACGUGCAGAAGAAGCGCCGGCUAACUACGUGCCAGCAGCCGCGAUAAUACGUAGGGCGCAAGCGUUGUCCGGAAUUAUUGGGCGUAAAGAGCUCGUAGGCGGUUUGUCGCGUCUGCUGUGAAAGCCCGGGGCUUAACCCCGGGUGUGCAGUGGGUACGGGCAGACUUGAGUGCAGUAGGGGAGACUGGAAUUCCUGGUGUAGCGGUGAAAUGCGCAGAUAUCAGGAGGAACACCGAUGGCGAAGGCAGGUCUCUGGGCUGUUACUGACGCUUGAGGAGCGAAAGCAUGGGGAGCGAACAGGGAUUAGAUACCCCUGGUAGUCCAUGCCGUAAAACGUUGGGGCACUAGGUGUGGGGGAACAUUUCCACGUUUUUCCGCGCCCGUAGCUAACGCAUUUAAAGU